GCUUAUCACCAUUCCAGAUUGAAUAUACCCGAUCUCGGCUGAUCUCGGAAGUCAAGCAAUCUCGGGCUUG
rnacentral:rRNA from 1 species